rnacentral:lncRNA from 1 species
GAAAAGACUAACCGUAUUAGCUAACAUGUUAAGGUCACACAAUUAAAUAUAUUCUGAACCACUAAAAACACCAAAGAAUACUACAAUGCUUUCUACCACUAAUAAUAUUCCUUCAUCAAUUAAUAACAACAAUGAUGUACAAUCUUGCACUCUCAAAAGACCACUCAAAAUACAUAAAUUCCAUCCAAUACCAAAAAUAAUAGACUUCCACUCCAACGAAUUUGGCUUCACACAAUUUUUGUAAUCAUAGACUUCUUUUGUUGAAACAUAGACAACUCUCAAUAAACAACAAUCAUAAUCUUCCAUCCAUAAACAAUCUCUCACAAAAUCUGAUAACAAACUCCCAA